rnacentral:lncRNA from 1 species
UACAUAAUAUGUUAUUUAUAUCAACUAUUAAUAAAUAUUAACAAAUAUCAACUAAUAUUCAACAAAUAUUAAUAAAUAAAAAUAAAUAUUGAGAUUUAGAAAAAAUAGAGAAGAAAUAUGUAUCUUGGAUGACAAAUUAAAAAAUUCUAAACCUUUAAUUUUACUCUCCUUGCAAAAGUUUAAACUUUUAUAGAAAAAAUUGAAAUUGAACAAAAUAAAUUAGAAGUAGGGAUUUCAUAUUCCGAAAAUCAGAAGAAGAAAAAAAGAAAAUAAGUAAAAAAAUUAUAAAAUUACCUUUCAAAAGACAAGUUUGUUGAAAACUUUUUGAUGAAAAAUCUGAGUUUGAUGGUGGAAGAGUGAGGUUAAUGU